rnacentral:rRNA from 1 species
GGUUAAGCGACUAAGCGUACACGGUGGAUGCCCUGGCAGUCAGAGGCGAUGAAGGACGUGCUAAUCUGCGAAAAGCGUCGGUAAGGUGAUAUGAACCGUUAUAACCGGCGAUGUCCGAAUGGGGAAACCCAGUGCAAUUCGUUGCACUAUCGUUAACUGAAUACAUAGAUUAACGAGGCGAACCGGGGGAACUGAAACAUCUAAGUACCCCGAGGAAAAGAAAUCAACCGAGAUUCCCCCAGUAGCGGCGAGCGAACGGGGAGCAGCCCAGAGUCUGAAUCAGCUUGUGUGUUAGUGGAACGGUCUGGAAAGUCCGACGGUACAGGGUGAUAGUCCCGUACACCAAAAUGCACAGGCUGUGAACUCGAAGAGUAGGGCGGGACACGUGGUAUCCUGUCUGAAUAUGGGGGGACCAUCCUCCAAGGCUAAAUACUCCUGACUGACCGAUAGUGAACCAGUACCGUGAGGGAAAGGCGAAAAGAACCCCGGCGAGGGGAGUGAAAAAGAACCUGAAACCGUGUACGUACAAGCAGUGGGAGCACCUUCGGGUGUGACUGCGUACCUUUUGUAUAAUGGGUCAGCGACUUAUAUUCUGUAGCAAGGUUAACCGUAUAGGGGAGCCGCAGGGAAACCGAGUCUUAACUGGGCGUUAAGUUGCAGGGUAUAGACCCGAAACCCGGUGAUCUAGCCAUGGGCAGGUUGAAGGUUGGGUAACACUAACUGGAGGACCGAACCGACUAAUGUUGAAAAAUUAGCGGAUGACUUGUGGCUGGGGGUGAAAGGCCAAUCAAACCGGGAGAUAGCUGGUUCUCCCCGAAAGCUAUUUAGGUAGCGCCUCGUGAAUUCAUCUUCGGGGGUAGAGCACUGUUUCGGCUAGGGGGUCAUCCCGACUUACCAACCCGAUGCAAACUACGAAUACCGAAGAAUGUUAUCACGGGAGACACACGGCGGGUGCUAACGUCCGUCGUGAAGAGGGAAACAACCCAGACCGCCAGCUAAGGUCCCAAAGUCAUGGUUAAGUGGGAAACGAUGUGGGAAGGCACAGACAGCCAGGAUGUUGGCUUAGAAGCAGCCAUCAUUUAAAGAAAGCGUAAUAGCUCACUGGUCGAGUCGGCCUGCGCGGAAGAUGUAACGGGGCUAAACCAUGCACCGAAGCUGCGGCAGCGACGCUUAUGCGUUGUUGGGUAGGGGAGCGUUCUGUAAGCCUGCGAAGGUGACCUGUGAGGGUUGCUGGAGGUAUCAGAAGUGCGAAUGCUGACAUAAGUAACGAUAAAGCGGGUGAAAAGCCCGCUCGCCGGAAGACCAAGGGUUCCUGUCCAACGUUAAUCGGGGCAGGGUGAGUCGACCCCUAAGGCGAGGCCGAAAGGCGUAGUCGAUGGGAAACAGGUUAAUAUUCCUGUACUUGGUGUUACUGCGAAGGGGGGACGGAGAAGGCUAUGUUAGCCGGGCGACGGUUGUCCCGGUUUAAGCAUGUAGGCUGGUUGUCCAGGCAAAUCCGGAUAAUCAAGGCUGAGGUGUGAUGACGAGGCACUACGGUGCUGAAGUAACAAAUGCCCUGCUUCCAGGAAAAGCCUCUAAGCAUCAGGUAACAUUAAAUCGUACCCCAAACCGACACAGGUGGUCAGGUAGAGAAUACCAAGGCGCUUGAGAGAACUCGGGUGAAGGAACUAGGCAAAAUGGUGCCGUAACUUCGGGAGAAGGCACGCUGGUGUGUAGGUGAAGUCCCUGCGGAUGGAGCUGAGACCAGUCGAAGAUACCAGCUGGCUGCAACUGUUUAUUAAAAACACAGCACUGUGCAAACACGAAAGUGGACGUAUACGGUGUGACGCCUGCCCGGUGCCGGAAGGUUAAUUGAUGGGGUUAUCCGUAAGGAGAAGCUCUUGAUCGAAGCCCCGGUAAACGGCGGCCGUAACUAUAACGGUCCUAAGGUAGCGAAAUUCCUUGUCGGGUAAGUUCCGACCUGCACGAAUGGCGUAAUGAUGGCCAGGCUGUCUCCACCCGAGACUCAGUGAAAUUGAACUCGCUGUGAAGAUGCAGUGUACCCGCGGCAAGACGGAAAGACCCCGUGAACCUUUACUAUAGCUUGACACUGAACAUUGAGCCUUGAUGUGUAGGAUAGGUGGGAGGCUUUGAAGCGUGGACGCCAGUCUGCGUGGAGCCAACCUUGAAAUACCACCCUUUAAUGUUUGAUGUUCUAACGUUGGCCCCUUACCGGGGUUGCGGACAGUGUCUGGUGGGUAGUUUGACUGGGGCGGUCUCCUCCCAAAGCGUAACGGAGGAGCACGAAGGUUAGCUAAUCCUGGUCGGACAUCAGGAGGUUAGUGCAAUGGCAUAAGCUAGCUUGACUGCGAGCGUGACGGCGCGAGCAGGUGCGAAAGCAGGUCAUAGUGAUCCGGUGGUUCUGAAUGGAAGGGCCAUCGCUCAACGGAUAAAAGGUACUCCGGGGAUAACAGGCUGAUACCGCCCAAGAGUUCAUAUCGACGGCGGUGUUUGGCACCUCGAUGUCGGCUCAUCACAUCCUGGGGCUGAAGUAGGUCCCAAGGGUAUGGCUGUUCGCCAUUUAAAGUGGUACGCGAGCUGGGUUUAGAACGUCGUGAGACAGUUCGGUCCCUAUCUGCCGUGGGCGCUGGAGAAUUGAGGGGGGCUGCUCCUAGUACGAGAGGACCGGAGUGGACGCAUCACUGGUGUUCGGGUUGUCAUGCCAAUGGCACUGCCCGGUAGCUAAAUGCGGAAGAGAUAAGUGCUGAAAGCAUCUAAGCACGAAACUUGCCCCGAGAUGAGUUCUCCCUGAGACUUUAAGUCUCCUGAAGGAACGUUAAAGACGAUGACGUUGAUAGGCCGGGUGUGUAAGCGCAGCGAUGCGUUGAGCUAACCGGUACUAAUGAACCGUGAGGCUUAACCUU